rnacentral:lncRNA from 1 species
UUGGUACUUAUGCUUAACAAAUAUAUUAUUUCUAAAUUUAAAGCUAAGUGUCAACACUAGAUGGACACAAAUCGAUCUUGCAAGAAAAUCAAUUUUGUCAUCAAUAGGAUCAACUAGUGUUGGUACUUAUGCUUACCAAAUAUAUUAUUUCUAAAUUUAAAGCUAAGUGUCAACACUAGAUGGACACAAAUCGAUCUUGCAAGAAAAUCAAUUUUGUCAUCAAUAGGAUCAACUAGUGUUGGUACUUAUGCUUAACAAAUAUAUUAUUUCUAAAUUGAAAGCUAAGUGUCAACAAUAGAUGGACAGAAAUUGAUCUUGCAAGAAAAUCAAUUUUGUCAUCAAUAGGAUCAACUAGUGUUGGUACUUAUGCUUAACAAAUAUAUUAUUUCUAAAUUGAAAGCUAAGUGUCAACAAUAGAUGGACAGAAAUUGAUCUUGCAAGAAAAUCAAUUUUGUCAUCAAUAGGAUCAACUAGUGUUGGUACUUAUGCUUAACAAAUAUAUUAUUUCUAAAUUGAAAGCUAAGUGUCAACAAUAGAUGGACAGAAAUUGAUCUUGCAAGAAAAUCAAUUUUGUCAUCAAUAGGAUCAACUAGUGUUGAUAUUUAUGCUUAACAAAUUUAUUAUUUCUAAAUUUAAAGCUAAGUGUCAACACUAGAUGGACACAAAUCGAUUUUGUAAAAAAUUCAAUUUUGUCAUCAAUAGGAUCAACUAGUGUUGGUACUUAUGCUAAACAAACACUCAAUGGACACAAACAAAUUAUCAUAAAAUUAAAGCUAACUAUCAAUAUUAGGUGGACACAAACACAUUAUAGAAAACAAUUGUACUUGAACUUUAGAAAUUUAGAAGCACCAAACCUUAUCUCCUACUUUGAUGAAAGAAGCAAUAUAGUCUUGUAUCAACUUUUUUAGAUGUUGAGCUUCCUCAGUUGCCUAGCACGAAAAGAAACAAUUUAAAAUUUCUUUAGUGGUCAUUAUAGAGAGAUCUCAGUCAUUAUUAACAGUUGACAAUUGGUAAACACCUAAUUCCUUCAUCUAUUCAAGAUUUCCGACUUUUGAAAGCAUCACUUGGAAAUUACAAUGCAACUCAUUUGUGUUUGACGAUCUCUUGUUAGAGAAGUAAUUGAUUUUACCAGAUCUUCUUGUUUAUGAGCUACAUAAUGUGUAUUUUAUCUUCUCAAAUAGGUUUCAUACAUAGCACUUGCAUCUUUUUCUCUUUGGUGGACUCUUAUGGUUUCUCCUUUUCCACUAUUGUUUGUAUAUCUUUUAUUAGAAUCUUUGUCCAUUUUGUACUUUUUUCUUAUAAUGAAGCUGUCUUGACCCCACACCCACUCCACAAAAUUGUUAGAAACUUGGUCCUGUAAAAGCUUAAUCUUGACAUGUUGAAUAUAACACUAAAAAGUAAAAACUACCUCCUCUAUCGAAACAUCUAGUGUUGGCCUCAAUAUUGUAGUGCUGGCCUCAAUAUUUGUUAGUCUUAAGACUAUAUUCAAAGGUAGUUUCUAAGUAUAGGCACCCCAAUACUUACACUAACAAUAAUUUCCAAACAUCUGUUCUUGCUGGUGAGCUAUCUCUGCUGGCCAACUGGUUAAAAGUCACAUAUUUCCCAAGUAAUCUCUUCCUCUUAGUGACUGUGAGGAUUAAUUAGCCCCCCACUUGAUCCUGUACAUUACCACCCCUACUAUUUUUAUAUUCCAAUAAUAAAUAAAAAAUAAGGAAUAAAAUUUUCACAAUUAGGAGGGAGAUGUAGAAGCAGAAGAAGUAAUUUGAACCAAAAUAUAAUAUAAAGUAAUAAUCCUAAAUCAUCCCCUUCUAUUUUAUCCUCAUUUUCUCCUAAAUGAUCCUCUCUCUCUCUCUCCCUCUCACAAAAUUACAACGAAAAAAGACAAUUACAGUAGUGUUUAAAGGAGUAUUAUCAGAUCUGGAACCAUAUCAUUUUAAGUUGUUUCUAAAAAGAAAUCAAAGCUUUAUUUUUACAUGGGCAAGGAUUUUUCAGUAAAUGAAUAAAAACACCAUGAAAAAAUAUACUUACCUUAUAAAUUGACUUCUGCGACGGCGAGCUGCGUCGCCGGCAAGCUUCUGCGACUGAGAGCUGCGACGCCCUUUGCUCUCUGCUGCUGCCGAACUCUGUGCGCUGCUAUUGCAGCCCUCUGCUGCUGCGACCUGCGGCUGAGGCUGCGCCCGUCGGAGAUGGUGGCGUGGCGCCGGUCGGGAAUGGGUGGGGUCAGCGCCGGUCCGGGAAAGGUGGGUGGGUGGUCGUGAGAGAGAUUAUUUUAUUGAUAUAUUUGUUUCUCUUUCCUCUUUUUUCUCAAUUUUUGUUUUCUCUAAAUCUAAUUUGAAUCAAUUUUAAUUACUC